ACCUGGCCACCCUUCUUUCCAACCAACAACGUGGCUCCUCGGUUCCUCCAGGUUCCUUCCUGCCCUGUAAAACCCCUGGCCUCCUGCCAGGCUCAAGAAAUGCCCUCGGAUCUCUUCCGUGCUUUCGCCCCGCAGGAGACACAGCCUAGGUCCCGCCUCCGUCACGCGACAGAGACUCAGAAAGCGCCCACGCGGGCAGGGCCCGGGCAAGACUACCUCACCGCCGCCCACCCAUCCCCGGAGCCUUCAGCAGCGCGGAGCUCAGGCUUCCCUGUCUCCCCUCUGCCCCCGCGCCGGCCGUGCGUGCAGUGCUUCGGCCCCUAGGCUGCGCCCGCGCCCCGUCCUCCCUCCCGGGGUUGGUGCGGGUCUCCCAGGCCGGGCCGGGGCACUGGACCGACGCCCAGGAAGCGGCCGCCGCCGCAGCGAAUUGCCCGCUCUCGCUUCGGCUUUCACCGCCCAGAAAGCGGCGCCUCCGACCUGGCUCUUAAACAACGGCGACUUUUAUUAUAAAGCCCGGGGGUGGUGCGGAGGAGCCCGCCACUCGGUGCCCCUCACUGCGGCCUCUGGCCUUCGCCUGGAAGGCGCGCGAGCCGGCGGCCCCGAGAGGCCGGGGGUGGGAGGCGCGGGGGCGACCCCGACGCGUGGAGCCGCCCGGGACGCACGCGGGCCCCAGCAGCCCCGAGUGCAGUCCUGGCUGCGUUGUGGGAGCCGCGGCCACGCCAGCGCCGGGGCCCCUCCCGCCCGAGACUGGUGAGGCGGCGGGAAACCGCGGGACGGCCAGGCUGGGGCUCUUCAGUGCGGCUCUCGGCGGGACUGCGGUCGCGGAACAAAGGGGCGCGGAGGUGGGCGGGGGGUGCAUCGCCGGCGGGGCGGGGCCUCGGCGUCCGGGGCUGAGGUCUCCUCACCUCCGGGCCGGGCGGGGUCUGGCGGCCGCGCCCCUCCGCGGGCUCCCCAGGCGCCCAGCCGCGCGGCAACAACCACAGCCACCGUUUCCGCUCCCCGCCCGCCCCUGCUCAGCGCUGGGGGCGCGAGGGCGCUGCUCGCCCGAUUCAGAGGCCAGGUGUAACUACUGGUGUCACAGAAGUUCGGUGUUUCCAAGAUGUGCUUCCUUUUUGUAGCGAAGGAAGCGCGGCCACCAGGCCAGGUCGUCCCAAAGUGCAGGGUCCCCGGCCCCCGUCAUCCCCGCCCGGUUGCAGGCCCCGACGCUCCGCGCUCCCGCCUGCUGCGCGCGGCGGCCACCAGAGGGCGCCCGGCUGCUGUCACCCCGCGGAGCGCGGGACCCAGGCCGGGCGGGGGAGGUCAGCGGCGGGCCCGCCACCCCCGGCCCCUGCGGGGGGGGGCCUGGCGCUGCUGGCGGCCGGAGGGACGAUUGCGGGGUCCCUUUCCCAGACCGGAACCAACAAGGCCGCCGGCCAGAGAACCGAGUUGGGUCGCCGUGUGACCUCGGGGCAGGUGCUAGCCGUCGUUGUGCCUCGGUUUCCCGCCUGUGAAGAGAGAGCGAGCACUGCCCGUCUGUGCAUUGGGUCGCGAUUCCCAAGCUCCCUAGGCUGGCCGUGGGGGAAGGCGGCCCCGCCGCCCCUGAGGCCCCGCGUGGGAACUCUCUUAGCAAGGGCACUGACGACGUCCUACUAACUGCCUUACGACUGUAUUUUAAAGGAAGGUGGGAGGCAGGGCCCCUCAUUUCCAAGUGCACCACCCACCAAAGCUGUGAUCUUGUCACUGCUCAAUACGAGCCUGGAAAAUGAUGUACAGCCCUUCCUUUAAGCGUGCUCGGUAAAAGGAGAUCCAUCCCAACAAGCAGAAGCUGAUAAUCUGCUUGAAAAGGGAUUCCUCCACUUACGAAAUUAUUUGCAACGGGAUUUUUCUCAUUGAGUAAAUUGUAGGCAAAUCACCUGUGAAUGAAUAUUUGUAACAGGCCAGCGGAUUUGGAAAUGAGUCUUACUGUAAAAUAAGUACUUCCGUGGUAAAAAUGGUUCCAGGGCCAAGGAUGGGCCUGUGGUUCAGCUGGAGCAUGCUGCCGGCUCACCUGAUGGGCGCCUAGGACGUUCUCUAACGGGCCUCUGAGCCUGGUUCCCUCCCAUUCCCUCUGCAUCCACUCCAGCAGGGAGUCCAGGAGGAUUCUACCCUUCCUUGGCCAGAGGAUGCUGAAGCUGGGCCCCUUCCUACCUGUUUCCUCUCUUGUGCCCCAUCUCCUAGGGGAGAUCCUUUGCUCCACUAGGCUCGACUGGAAGAGACCGGGAGGCCAUGCAGGGAGCACCCUCACUGGCCAGGCACCCAAGGUGUGCCAGGCACGGCCUCCCAGGCUGUAGCUCUACCAGGAGUGGGUUCUCCUUGUGAAGAUUCUGACUUUGCUUGUCCCACCUGGCUUGGGGACUCCCACCCUCGCUCAACCACAGCAUUGCCAAACUCAGUAGGGCAUCUCUCUGGACACAGAGGGAUGGAGGAAAUGGCCACUCAGGCUCCAGAACUGCACGGGAAUUCUGGGCCAUAUCUUGGCCCACCAGCCUCAGCUCACCCUGGCCACUCAAGCCUCGGCCUUCCUGGGGCCCCUUGGUUCUGGGGAGGGACCCAUUAGUAAAUACCAUUGCUCACUUGCUGCUUUUAAAUCUCCUGAACGUUGGCGGGGCACAGUGGCUCACACUUGUAAUCCCAGCACUUUGAGAGGCAGAGGUGGGUGGAUCAUUUGAGGCCAGGAGUUCGAGACCAGCCUGGCCAAGACAGUGAAACCCCGUCUCUACUAAAAAUACAAACAUUAGCCAGGCGUAGUGAUGUACGCCUGUAGUCCCAGCUACUUGGGAGGCUGAGGCAAGAGAAUCACUUGAACCAGUGAGCAGAGGUUGCAGUGAGCCAAGGUCGCACCACUGUACUCCAGCCUGGGUGACAGAGUGAGACCCUGUCUCAAAAAAGCAAACAACAAAAAACAAAACAAAACAAACAAAAAGCCCAAAAAUCAAUCUCCUGAACGUUGUGAAUUUUUCAUUAAAUCCAAAAAGCUGGUGGAACGAGCACAGGCUUUCCACCCUCUCACCUGCAGAAGAGGCGGAAGCCAGUGCUGGUUUGAUGGUGCCCUCUUCAUUCCCAUUGAGGUUGGAAAGCUGCCCCUCCCCAGCAGCCCUGGCCUCCCCUAGGGUGAUGCUCAGGCCUGCCCUGGCACACAGUGAGGGUGGAAUCCUGAGAAGCCUAUGGGGAGGGGAGCCAGACCUGGGGCUUCAGGUGGGAACCACCCAGCUGCCUUCAUUACAGCUCUGGGGCUGUCCUUCCCACCACCGCAUCCCUGCAGCUUGAGAGGGCUUACAGCCCAUUCAAGAGAGACAGGCUUCAUCCUCUGUGCACAGGCAGAAUGCACCUCGUGCAGUGGAUUGCCGCCAUCCUUUUCUGUUUAUUCUUCAUUCAUUUGUCCUACCCACAGUUCCUGACACUUGUUUCGAAUCAGGCUCUCCAGUAGGGGUGAGGGCGGAAACAUAAAGACAUAUUUUUCUGGGGUUCACGGAGAGUGAUUCUUACUUCCUCAUAUUGGGGGGUUGGGGGGGACACUCUGACUUCACCAUUUACUAGCUGUGUGACCUAAGCAAGGCAAGUCACCCAGCCUCUCUGAGACUGUUUCCUUAUCUAUAAAAUGGGACCAAGGGGGACUUGCCCAGAGACCUCCACUGUGAGUCUUGGCUGUAGGUUGUGAAGGGUUCCAGUGGAACGUCCUCUGGCCACAGCAGAAAGAUAGCCUGGGGCUCUGGGGACUGUGGAGAUAGGCCAGACCCUCCUCCUGGAAGGCCCUUUGUCUCUCUUCCACCUUCCUUCACCCACCUGGGGCUCCUCCCUGUUGUCCAGUGAUGUCCAAGGGCCUGCUGCCUGUGGCUUGGCUGAUUGAAUAUUGAGGGUCACUGAGGACUCCUGUCUGGGACAGGGACAGAUACACCACAAAGGGAGAAAGAGCUCUCUAAGCCUCUUGAGUCAUGAGGCCCCAUCCUUGUUCUGGCUCUCCAACUUGCCCUGUGUGACCUCCUCGCAGGGCUUCCCCCAUCCUAUGAGGGCCUGCUCUGGACAUGUCUGGAAGGGGGUGCACACCUCCCUGCAGUCAGGCGUCAGCCCGGGGGAACUGGCUAUGCUUCAUCCAGACCCUUCCUCUCCUCCCUUAGAAAUAGACUCCCAGCUCCAGAAAAUGCCCAUUCACACCAGGAAGGUCUAAGGAUCCUCCCUACCCUGUACCCCACCUCAUACCCAUCAAAGUAGCCCAGGGUCCCCAGCAGUCAAGGUCCCCAGCCUCAAGAAUUUGCUCAUUAAGAAAAAGCUGAUUCCCCCUCCUUCACCCUUCCCUUCCUCCCUCUUCCCAUCUCCUCCCCUCCUCCACACCAUGAGCAGCAGGCCAAGGUGGGAGGGGAGACAGACACCACCACCCCCGCCACCCACAGCAAUCUUAAUUGCCUAGAUGAAUCUAGACAGAGGCCGCCUGAGGCAGGAGCCUCAUGUGGGGAUGGCACCAUGAGAAAACGAACAGUUCACCGCACCCACAUUCAUCACCAUCAUUCUUCAUCACCUCUCUGUUAGUGUCAGGGGCUUCUUUAAUAAAACUUUUAGCUGACAGCUGCCACUGUCCCUCAAGAAGUGACAUGCCUCUGCUGGAACAGAUCAUCAGGAGAAUCCUCCCCCAACUCCCCUUCCCGACCUGGUUCCCCCAAAUAUCAACAGCCCUUUUGUCAUCUGGAAUACAAUUGCCAUUUGCCCCCAUCCAAAGGGAAAGAGUGGACCCCACCCCACCUCCUACAGGAUAGAGUCCAGCCCUCAGGAGUUGCGUGGUGAGGGCAGUCAGAGAGACCCGCUGUGGAGACUUUGCAAUACUUGAGGUCUCUGGUCACCCUGAGGGCUGAGUGAGCAGGCCUUUGGGACUCUGGAGGAUGAGGCCCAAGCCAGGACACUCCUUGCUUUGCUCCUAGCCUCUCCCAGGUUCCCACGUCCCUAGACCCACUCUGGUCCUGCCCUCCUCUGGCCUUGGCUGUCACUGUCAUCUGCGCCCAUCAAGCUAGAGCGCUAUAAGGCAGUCUCAUCUCCAGGGCUGGGGCUGGAGGUGCUCCUGACAGGCAGCUUCAUUAUCCCACUGGCAGGGAAAUGUUUGCUGCAUACCUGGGAGCCUAAACCUUACAGCUGGAACACAGGGCUGCACAGAAGCCAGGUUGCUGGGGGCUGGGGAAGGGAGGGGAGUUGUCCCUCAAUACCCUUUGGCC
rnacentral:lncRNA from 10 species